GCGGACGUGGCGAAAUCGGUAGACGCAGCGGACUUAAAAUCCGCUUGCCCAACGGCAGUGCGGGUUCGAGUCCCGCCGUCCGCA
rnacentral:tRNA from 1 species